CAGUAGCCGCGGGAAUACGGAGGGUGCAAGCGUUAAUCGGAAUUACUGGGCGUAAAGCGUGCGUAGGCGGCUUCUUAAGUCGGAUGUGAAAUCCCUGAGCUUAACUUAGGAAUUGCAUUCGAUACUGGGAAGCUAGAGUAUGGGAGAGGAUGGUAGAAUUCCAGGUGUAGCGGUGAAAUGCGUAGAGAUCUGGAGGAAUACCGAUGGCGAAGGCAGCCAUCUGGCCUAAUACUGACGCUGAGGUACGAAAGCAUGGGGAGCAAACAGGAUUAGAUACCCCGGUAGUCCCUGUCUCUUAUAC
rnacentral:rRNA from 1 species